GAGGAAAAUCCGUCGACUUUUAAAAUCGUGAGGGUUCAAGUCCCUCUAUCCCCAAAAGUUUAUUUCACACCCUAACUAGUUAUCUUUUUUUUCAUUAAUGGUUUGAUGGAUCGGGACGGAAAUGCUUUUCUCCUAUUACAAGUCUUGUGAUAUAUCUCAUAUACGUACAAAUGAAUAUCUUUGAGCAAGGAGUACUCAUUUGAGUGAUUCACAAUCCAUAUCAUUACUCGUACUAAAACUGAUAGACAAAGUCCCUCUUUUUGAAGACCCAAGAAAUUCUAGUACCUAGAUAAGACUUUGUAAGAUAUAAGACUUUUCGUCCUUUUUUAAUUGACAUAAACCCAAGUUAUCUAGUAAAAUGAGGAGAUUGACAUAAACCCAAGUUUUCUAGUAAAAUGAGGAGAUGAUGCACCAGAAAGGGGAAUCGUCGGGAUAG
rnacentral:tRNA from 1 species